rnacentral:rRNA from 1 species
AUUGAACGCUAGCGGCAGGCCUAACACAUGCAAGUCGCACGAGUGGCGGACGGGUGAGUAAUGUCUGGGAAACUGCCUGCUGGAGGGGGAUAACUACUGGAAACGGUAUCUCAUACCGCAUACCAUCAGAUGUGCCCAGAUGGGAUUAGCUUGUUGGUGGGGUAACGGCUCACCAAGGCGACGAUCCCUAGCUGGUCUGAGAGGAUGACCAGCCACACUGGAACGGAGACACGGUCCAGACUCCUAUGGUAGGCAGCAGUGGGUAAUAUUGCACAAUGGGCGCAAGCCUGAUGCAGCCAUGCCGCGUGUAUGAAGAAGGCCUUCGGGUUGUAAAGUACUUUCAGCGGGGAGGCGUUACCCGCAGAAGAAGCACCGGCUAACUCCGUGCCAGCAGCCGCGGUAAGUC